rnacentral:sRNA from 1 species
UCAGGUGUCAGGAGGAGGCAGAGGUGGUACCUGUCACAGGGCGAAGGCCAGGGAGCUGCUUCCUCACCUGGCUCCUUCCCCAGGUCCCUGCUUCCCCUUCUCUGUGAGCGUGGAACUGGACGGUGUGGUCUGCCCUGCGGGCACUGCGAAUAGCAAGACAGAGGCCAAACAGCAGGCAGCGCUGUCUGCCCUCUGCUACAUCCGGAGUCAGCUGGAGAACCCAGAGUCCCCCCAGACCUCCAGCCAGCCUCCACUGGCCCCCCUGAGCAUAGAGAACAUCCUGACCCAUGAGCAGCGCUGCGCAGCGUUGGUGAGCGCUGGCUUUGACCUCCUGUUGGAUGAGCGCUCGCCAUACUGGGCCUGUAAGGGGACUGUGGCUGGAGUCAUCCUGGAGAGGGGUAAGGAUCGCCCUAGCCCUGACCCUGGCCCCCUGGGAAGGGCCCCCUCAAGCUCCUUGCCUUAGGCUGGGCCGUCUCUGCCCCUUCCUGCACAGAGAUCCCGCGUGCCAGGGGCCACGUGAAGGAGAUCUACAAGCUGGUGGCUCUGGGCACUGGCAGCAGCUGCUGUGCUGGCUGGCUGGAGUUCUCGGGCCAGCAGCUCCAUGACUGCCAUGGCCUGGUCAUCGCCCGCAGGGCC